CCUACGGGAGGCAGCAGUAGGGAAUAUUGCUCAAUGGGGGAAACCCUGAAGCAGCAACGCCGCGUGGAGGAUGAAGGUUUUCGGAGUGUAAACUCCUUUUGUUAGAGAAGAUAAUGACGGUAUCUAACGAAUAAGCACCGGCUAACUCCGUGCCAGCAGCCGCGGUAAUACGGAGGGUGCAAGCGUUAAUCGGAAUGACUGGGCGUAAAGGGCGAGUAGGCGGGAUAGCAAGUCAGAUGUGAAAUCCUAUGGCUUAACCAUAGAACUGCAUUUGAAACUGUUAUUCUGGAGUAGGGGAGAGGUAGGUGGAAUUCUUGGUGUAGGGGUGAAAUGCGUAGAUAUCAAGAGGAAUACUCAUUGCGAAGGCGACCUGCUAGAACGUAACUGACGCUGAUGCGCGAAAGCGUGGGGAGCAAACAGGAUUAGAUACCCGUGUAGUC
rnacentral:rRNA from 1 species